rnacentral:rRNA from 1 species
UAGAUGGCGACCGGCGCACGGGUGAGUAACACGUAUCCAACCUGCCGAUAACUCGGGGAUAGCCUUUCGAAAGAAAGAUUAAUACCCGAUGGCAUAAUUAGACCGCAUGGUCUUAUUAUUAAAGAAUUUCGGUUAUCGAUGGGGAUGCGUUCCAUUAAGCAGUUGGUGAGGUAACGGCUCACCAAACCUUCGAUGGAUAGGGGUUCUGAGAGGAAGGUCCCCCACAUUGGAACUGAGACACGGUCCAA